rnacentral:miRNA from 1 species
ACGUGAGAACUGAAGUGCAGGGAC